rnacentral:tRNA from 1 species
GCUUUCGUGGUGUAGCGAUAGCACACUCGGCGCGUACUCGAGAGGUUCAGGUUCGAGUCCCGUCAAUGGCA